UCUCUCUCUCUGGAAGAAGAACGGAGGAGGACGCAUGGAGUCUACGUGCGCUCUCACCAAGAUUACUUUUAUGACAAAUACUUGUUGAAAUUCCCGUUUAUUCAACCGUUUGAUGGGGAUUAAUGGUUCCAGACAUGCAUACGGGCUUAUUUGUUGCACUCAAGGGAUCGAUGGUGCUGGCUGCAUUACUGUGGUAUCGAGACUUGAUGGACUGGCAGGGUGCUGAAGAUGCUGUAGGAGGAUCAUCUAGUCUUGAUUUGAUUGGCUAGCAUGUGGACUGGAGACUGAAGUAAAUCUUGCCCCAUGAUUGGUGGCCCAGUAUGUGGAGUAUGAAGAUCUAUAUCUCAACCCUAUGGUUUAUUGGACCUGCAGUAGAUGAGUGUCUUAUGGUGAGUUCCUUCCUGGUUUCAGGUGUCCACUUUGAACUGUUCAGCCAUUUUACUGGAAUUGUGAUCCCUUUUCUGACAUACUUCUGCUGAUUUACCCUCCUGAAAAGCCAUUAAUCUGAAUUACCAGCACUUUAAACUAUUGUAGAAAGUUAAAGUUGUUGCCAGCAAGUCUCUAUAAUUUAACUAUUUAUCUAGGCAUUAGUCUUAAUAAAGUUGAUUAUCAAUUAAGAAACUGGUAUGUGACCAUGUCUAAAUGAAGUCAAAUUAUUUUUUUCUGCCCUGUUCAUUGUGAAACAUGUUAAUAAACUUUUUUAUAGUA